AGUGAACGCUGGCGGUAGGCCUAACACAUGCAAGUCGAACGGCAGCACAGUAAGAGCUUGCUCUUACGGGUGGCGAGUGGCGGACGGGUGAGGAAUACAUCGGAAUCUACUUUUUCGUGGGGGAUAACGUAGGGAAACUUACGCUAAUACCGCAUACGACCUACGGUUGAAAGCAUUGGAUCUUCUGACCUUGCGCGAUUGAAUGAGCCGAUGUCGGAUUAGCUAGUUGGCGGGGUAAAGGCCCACCAAGGCGACGAUCCGUAGCUGGUCUGAGAGGAUGAUCAGCCACACUGGAACUGAGACACGGUCCAGACUCCUACGGGAGGCAGCAGUGGGGAAUAUUGGACAGUGGGCGCAAGCCUGAUCCAGCCAUACCGCGUGGGUGAAGAAGGCCUUCGGGUUGUAAAGCCCUUUUGUUGGGAAAGAAAAGCAGCAGGUUAAUACCCCGCUGUUCUGACGGUACCCAAAGAAUAAGCACCGGCUAACUUCGUG
rnacentral:rRNA from 1 species